rnacentral:rRNA from 1 species
AACGAACGCUGGCGGCAUGCCUAACACAUGCAAGUCGAACGAAGCCUUCGGGCUUAGUGGCGCACGGGUGCGUAACGCGUGGGAAUCUGCCCCUCGGUUCGGAAUAACAGUUAGAAAUGACUGCUAAUACCGGAUGAUGACGAAAGUCCAAAGAUUUAUCGCCGAGGGAUGAGCCCGCGUAGGAUUAGCUUGUUGGUGGGGUAAUGGCCCACCAAGGCGACGAUCCUUAGCUGGUCUGAGAGGAUGAUCAGCCAUACUGGGACUGAGACACGGCCCAGACUCCUACGGGAGGCAGCAGUGGGGAAUAUUGGACAAUGGGCGAAAGCCUGAUCCAGCAAUGCCGCGUGAGUGAUGAAGGCCUAGGGUUGUAAAGCUCUUUUACCAGGGAUGAUAAUGACAGUACCUGGAGAAUAAGCUCCGGCUAACUCCGUGCCAGCAGCCGCGGUAAU